AUUUGAUUGGAGUUUAUUUGUCAACAGUGGUGUCCUGGAAAAAUAGAGCUCACUAAUUCCAGGAGAUUGUGAGCUGUCAGGCCCCUAUCCUUUUGGAGCCUGGUUCUCUAGCUUUUCCUUAAAUUCUCUGAGUAUUCCAUAGCGUUCCAAUAAAUUCUUGUUCUUUUCCCUAUUAAGUUAACUAGGAUCUGUUUUUACUGUGUGCAAUGGAAGAGUCCUGAUAGAUGCUCAUUCCUUUGGAGGGAUUCCAUUGGGGUUACAAGCCUAGAGACCCCCAAACAAAGCCCUGUGAAACCUCUCUCUGUUGCUGCUAUUUCAUGCAGUAGGUCUAUUCAGAAAGAAGAGAGGAAGGGGAAGAUGUCUUAGCAUCAUGUUUCCAGAGGACUCAACUGAGAGAGAAGGAGGAGUGAGAGAGGCAGCCCCGGGAACACUGUCUACCCUGCACCUUCUGGCAGAUGUGGCCUGCAAGGAGGCUGAGCAGGCUCCGGCAGCACCAGAAAGAGCCUCAGGUAUGCAGCUUGAGAGUGGAUGCAGGCAGCAUACAGGGAACUGUUCAUCACAGCCGCGGGGAAUCAGAGGCAGCUUGGAUAAUGGCUUCCCCGAGCUUAAAAGACAUGUGAAUGCAUCCGAGAGGAAGCCACCUGUGGCAACAGCACAGACGCAGGCUGCCGCAGCCGAGCUGGGUGCUGUUAGGAGAGGGGCUGUUUACUCCCCAGCCUCGGCAAAGGUGGGGCCCACAUGUGCCCACUCAGCAAACAGGGAUUGCAGGUCAGCCCUUGCCAAUUCGAUUUACUCUGAGUCAAAAACCAAGGGGCGGAUGGCAAGGAGCCCUGGUAACCACACAGCCAGCAGCAUCGGUGGAUGGGGGCUCAGACCCUGUGCCUGACAAGGAAGACGGAGCAACAAAGCAUCUAUUUACUUUCAAUUCAUUUUGACAUAUCUUUAAAUGUGUGUGGCUUUUGUAAUCAUAAAAAAUAUUCGAAUCGUUAUAAAAACAAUUAUCUCUGGGGAUAGGAUUAUAAAGGAUUUCAUAUUCUAUACAUCUGAAAACCUUUGUUUUUGAAUGAUUUGGUCCCUGAACAGUGUAUUUUUUUUUGCUGUUGUUUUGUGCCCCUAAACAUUGAGUGGUAUUCCUCUAGGCGGUGCACAGGAACAAACAGUGCAGGAAAGAUGAAAGAGAAAUAACUGAGUUUCACAGUUAUAAAGUCAAUUACACACACAAACACACACACACUACCUCUUCCACUUGAGUCAGGUGUCAAGAGAAUGACCUUGGAGGUUCACUACAGGAGGGCACGGCUUUUUUUUUUUCUUCUUCCAAUGCUUUCUCUCCUCGAGCUCCAGGGUUUCAAGCCAAAGGCAGGUAGAAC
rnacentral:lncRNA from 1 species